rnacentral:rRNA from 1 species
UACAGAGGGUGCGAGCGUUAAUCGGAAUUACUGGGCGUAAAGCGCACGUAGGUGGCGACGUAAGUCGGGCGUGAAAGCCCCGGGCUCAACCUGGGAAUUGCAUUCGAGACUGCAUUGCUGGAGUACGGAAGAGGAAGGCGGAAUUCCCGGUGUAGCGGUGAAAUGCGUAGAUAUCGGGAGGAACAUCAGUGGCGAAGGCGGCCUUCUGGUCCGGUACUGACACUCAAGUGCGAAAGCGUGGGGAGCAAACAGG